GAGAUUAAUACCGCAUAAAAUUAUGGAAUCGCAUGGUUCUGUAAUCAAAGGAGCAAUCCGCUUUGAGAUGGGCCCGCGGCGCAUUAGCUAGUUGGUAAGGUAAAGGCUUACCAAGGCGACGAUGCGUAGCCGACCUGAGAGGGUGAUCGGCCACAUUGGAACUGAGACACGGUCCAGACUCCUACGGGAGGCAGCAGUGGGGAAUAUUGCGCAAUGGGGGAAACCCUGACGCAGCAACGCCGCGUGAGUGAUGAAGGCCUUAGGGUUGUAAAGCUCUGUUAUCUGGGACGAUAAUGACGGUACCAGAGGAGGAAGCCACGGCUAACUAC
rnacentral:rRNA from 1 species